rnacentral:rRNA from 1 species
CCCGAAAGAUCGAACGGGGAGAUUCACCGUCAGCGAGAUCGGCUUCGCCGCGGCCCGCGAUGCGCCGUACCACGCGUUCGGCGCACGCGGUCGCGUCGCGUUCUAUGCCCGGUCACGUAGGCGUGCACUUCUCCCCUAGUAGGACGUCGCGACCCGUUGGGCGUAGGCAUAAGGCCCGUGAGGUAGCCUGUAGCGGCGCUCGCGCCGUUGCAGAUCCACGGUCGCCCGGCCUGCUGCCCGGCGGUACACGCACGGUAUUGAGCCGCAUCGAACAUGCGUCCAGUUCGUCGCAAGCGGGGUCAGCGAUACCCGGUGGUCGGACCAAGCGCCGUCACCGGGCCUGAUCAGCUGCUGGCAGACGAUGUCCUCGGACGGGCUCGCUCUCAUAAAUAUUACCGGUCGGCGACGCUACUGCUUUGGGUACUUUCA